CGAGGCCACAGCUCUGUUGCACCCGACUAAUGAAGCUGCAAGUUCAUUACUGUUACAAUCAGCAGCGAGCCGACCACUCAUCAGGACAGGAGGCUGCGGAGAGUCAUUCAUCAGCAUGGAGUGUUCUUCAUGGAUGACCCCUAAAUCAUUGCUGGAGUAGUAGAUGCACUGAUUGGACACAGCAUGGGGGAGCAGCGCUACUUUGCAUUAGCACAGCCAGACGAGAGAGAGGCAAGUCAUGGGCAAAUCCUGCACACAGCACAAAUAAAGCAGCAGCUCCAUAUACUGUAUAUAUGUGUGUGUGUGUGUGUGUAGUGGGCGCAGAGGUUUUCCUCUCUGUCGCAGAAGGACGGAUGAAAGUAUCUUUCCUGCUGGGGAGGAUUAUAAAUAUGCAGCCUGCUGCUGCUACUGGGCGCAGUGUUUAGAGGACGCUGGACUCCCCCCUCACUCUGUGCCGGGGUGGAGCGUGCCAAGCUGUGGGUAGAGGCGGCAGCUGCUUCACGUGUGUGCCUGCUUUAGCAGCUCUCAGCCCGGACAGCCGUUUUCUCUCUCUCCACCAGCACCAACCCAGGGAGGGAUGUGACAGGGAAAGCGGAGACCGGGAGACAAAUUGCGCCGCGCUGUCAUUCUUCUCUAUCCGGGAUAAGUGGCUGCUUCCAACGGGAGGCACAAGUUGCAGCUCAGACCUCCCCUUCCACUUGUUUGUACUUGGUACGGGCUGCAGGGUGCGUGAUGCUUCCCAUGGUGGGAUACCGGGAGAGGGAGCUACACAGGGACACAAAGCUCAUCUGCUCCUGCACGUCCUGGAAACUGAGAUUCACUUGUCUGAAGAGCUUCUGAACCAAGAAGUGAUUUCCUUUCCACGGCUGUAGAAAUCUUCCAGAACAAAUAACCAGUAUCAAAGGUAAGAAACCACACUAUCAAGCUUCAUGUUGGUCAGCUUCCAGGAACAGUCAGGGUUGUUCAUGAGCACUUGGAGCUAUACAUGUAUUUUAUCAGCAGCUAGAAAGAUGCAGAUUAGACAUCCUAGAUUUAGUGAGAAAAUAAAUAAAUGUGUGUUGCAGGCUAUAUCUACUUCAAUUUUGUACCCAAUUUAUAUAAUUUUCAGCU